rnacentral:lncRNA from 1 species
CGCGAUAUUUCGCCGAUAAUAUCGGUUUUUUGAGUUACCGAUAUUUUAAUACUUAUCCACUGAGUUUUCGUCAAAAUAUCGCAAUAUUAUCGAUAAUAUCAACAAUAUCGCGAUAUUACCGAUAAUAUCGCGAUAUUUUGGAGAUGUGCGAAUCGGAGAAGAAGGCCGGAGCUUCUACAGCUCCUGCCGACUGUAAAAGAGCACCCUAGACUCCGAUCUAGGUAUCAAAAUGAAAUACAAGACGAGAGGAAUGUUUUUAUAACUUCCGUUUGCCGUGAAACGGUCGAAGGUGUUCGGAAAGUUCGUCGACACCCACGGCCUCGCCAGAGAUGGGUGUGCCUAUUCUCGAGCCGAUUUCGUCCCAAAAACCUUGCAAAAACACGAGAUAGAACUUAAAUUUCACAUCUAAGCUUCAAUCUAGAAUAGAAUGAGGUAAACCCGAAGCUUACCUAACCGGAGAAAUUCAAGAAACUCGCCAGAGGGUUCCUGCGUCGCCGAGUUGCAGAGACGAGAAAGAGAUGGAGAAAGACGAGGUUGCUGAUAACGAUGGGUGUCUUCCUCAAGCAGGUGCGAUGGUGUGCGUGUGUGUAUGUGGGUCUCGGUGCAGAGAGAAAGGAGAGAGAUGAGAGUUUCAAGAAAGAGACGGCGCCAACGAGAGCUAUUUGUUUUUUUUUAUCUUAAAAAGAGAGAGGUCUAAGAGAAAUGGGAAGAGAGGGCCGAGUGAAAUGAAAGGAGGUCCUUGAAUUAUUGAGAGAUAUCUCUGAGAGAGGCCUAGGAUUUCUAAAAGGUAAUUAGAAAUGGGAAAAAUGGGGCACAUCUUAGCCUUUAUUUUGGAAUCCUAAGAAGUUCACCACAUGGAUGCAUGACAUGUGUGCAUGCCAUGUCUGUUGAAUGGGAAAAGUCUG